CCUACGGGGGGCAGCAGUGAGGAAUAUUGGUCAAUGGGCGGAAGCCUGAACCAGCCCAGUCGCGUGAGGGAAUAAGGCCCUACGGGUCGUAAACCUCUUUUGCCGGGGAGCAAGGGCGGGGACGUUUCCCGGCCCGGAGAGUACCCGGAGAAAAAGCAUCGGCUCACUCAGUGCCCGCAGCCGCGGUAAUACGGAGGCGGCGAGCUGUAUACGGAUUUAUUGGGUUCAAAGGGUGCGUAAGCGGGCUUUUAAGUCAGCGGUAAAAAUUCGGGGCUCAAACCCGUCCGGCCGUUGAAACUGGGGGCGGUGAGUGGGCGAGAAGAAGGCGGAAUGCGUUGUGUAGCGGUGAAAUGCAUAGAUAUCACGCAGAACCCCGAUUGCGAAGGCAGCCUUCCGGCGCCCUACUGACGCUGAGGCACGAAAGUGCGGGGAUCGAACAGGAUUAGAUACCCUAGUAGUC
rnacentral:rRNA from 1 species